CUGGAAGAUGCCCAAGCUGGUGAGAAGGCUUGGAGGUCAGGUGCUGGCCAGCAGUGGAGUGGGUAGGAGAGGAGAGAGGAGACGGGCCAUGGAGUUGACAGUGAAACUUGUCUUGGGCUGGUCUGCCUCCUCUUUCAGGCUCUGGUUCUUUGCCAGAUUCCUAUCCCCAUCUGCUCCGAGGUUUCCUGACAGCAGGAGUCUUUCUCCAGGCUCCUCUCCCACCCGACCCCAGGACAGCUCUUUCAGGCCUGGCAGGGCCAGAUGAAGACAGAGAAAAAAAAAUCAGACCAAAAACAGAGGGAGUGAGAGAGAGAGAGGAAGAGACCUCUGGCACCUGAAACACUAAUGCAAGUCAAGAACAUAAUCAGGCAUCUCUCAUGCAAAUUGAUGCAAAUGAAGGAGACAGAACCCCUCCCCAGCUAGCCGGUGCCCCCAGCCAUGUGUGCCUGCCGAGCCUUUAAAUGUGACCAGUCCUCACUGAGAUGUGCUGUCACUGGAAAUACACACACCCAAUUUUGAAGAUAGUUGGAAAAAAAGAAUAAAAUAUCUCAUUAAUAAUUUUUAUUAUUACAUAUUAAAAUGGUAAUAUAUAUUGGAUAUAGCAACUAC